rnacentral:rRNA from 1 species
UACGUAGGUGGCAAGCGUUGUCCGGAUUUACUGGGCGUAAAGAGCGCGCAGGCGGUCGUCCAAGUCGCGUGUGAAAGCCCCCGGCUCAACUGGGGAGGGUCACGCGAUACUGGUCGACUCGAAGGCAGGAGAGGGUAGUGGAAUUCCCGGUGUAGUGGUGAAAUGCGUAGAUAUCGGGAGGAACACCAGUGGCGAAGGCGGCUACCUGGACCGGUUCUGACGCUGAGGCGCGAAAGCGUGGGUAGCAAACAGG